rnacentral:rRNA from 1 species
CCUACGGGAGGCAGCAGUGAGGAAUAUUGGUCAAUGGACGAGAGUCUGAACCAGCCAAGUAGCGUGAAGGAUGACUGCCCUAUGGGUUGUAAACUUCUUUUAUAUGGGAAUAAAAUGUUCCACGUGUGGGACUUUGUAUGUACCAUAUGAAUAAGGAUCGGCUAACUCCGUGCCAGCAGCCGCGGUAAUACGGAGGAUCCGAGCGUUAUCCGGAUUUAUUGGGUUUAAAGGGAGCGUAGGUGGAUUGUUAAGUCAGUUGUGAAAGUUUGCGGCUCAACCGUAAAAUUGCAGUUGAAACUGGCAGUCUUGAGUACAGGAGAGGUGGGCGGAAUUCGUGGUGUAGCGGUGAAAUGCUUAGAUAGCACGAAGAACUCCGAUUGCGAAGGCAGCUCACUGGACUGCAACUGACACUGAGGCUCGAAAGUGUGGGUAUCAAACAGGAUUAGAUACCCCUGUAGUC